GAGGAGGACCGUCGGAUGAACUGAUGACCUGCUUGCUGGGCUUCCCAUUACUGAUUCGUGAGACAUGAGGACCACUGACUGGUGAGGGAAUUGCCCUAUGAUGGAUGAGCCUGCCUCAAGCUGCCAUAAGCUGGGAGGACCGACGGUUGACUGACACUGCCUGCUUGGUUGACCAUUACCAAUUCUUGAGAAGAUGAGGACCGCCAAGCUUGGAUGAGACUGGAAAAUUACGAAGCUGCUCUAUCUGGACAAGGAUGCCCUCAUCAGACACUUUCCAAUUUGCGGAAUAUUGGAUCAAAAAGCAGACUGCAUAUUAUUUUGCAAUAUUAUAAAACAUAAAAACGACGAAAAUACGAAUUCUUACGCCAAAGUUACCGCUGUAAUUGGAAGAAUUAAUAGCUUAAAUCACUGUUACUUGUUAACUGUACUGAGAAACCUAUACCUGAAAUAUAUGUGACAACGAAUAUGACGAAAAUUGAAGAAAAAAGGUCAAAUGUGUGUAAAAUACAUUGCAGUGAAAAUCAAAUCAUGAGCGGAUUUUCUUCUCACAGAAAUGCUUCUCCGCUUCCAACAAGUGGCUGAGAAAUUAUGAAAUUUACGUCGAAAAUAACUGAAAUCAGUGUUGUUUUUACCUUUACUGCGAUACCUACUUGAAAUAUUUGACUAAACGCGUGUGACGAAACGUGGAAACAAAAAUCAAAUCGGUCCAAAUUAAAUUACAACGAAAAUCACAUAGUACGUGGAGUUUCUUCUCGAAGCACGGCACUGUGUUUCCACAGGUAGCUAGGGGAAAAUUACGAAAAUUACACCGAAAAUCAACGCGGCAUAUAAGUGAAGUGAGGAAACAUAGUUUACACGGCUAAAAAAUCACAGCGUUAGUGAGAGAAAUAAUACUUGAUAUCAGUGUUAUUUUUAUUACCUACAAAGUAAAAACAAUUCGAUUGCGGAAGAACCAAAUUAAAGAGACGAAAAUUGCGGUAAAAAGAUUAACAACGGCAGCGAAAGAAAUAAAUAUUUGAAAAUCGGUAAUUUUCUAAACUUGUAGGCCCUAUGCCCGAAAUGAAAAUGACCGAAAUAAUGUUAACAAAAACAUUUCAAAUUAUAAUCGGCAGCCACUUCCGGUACGGUACUACACUGCUUAAAAAAGUCGGAAAGCGAAUUUGGGUAAAAAAGUUUUUAAAAUGACGGAAUUUAAGGAAAAGUCCCAUUAUAUCGAUGUAAAGAAAAUGACUGAAUUUAAAUUAAAGCAGCAUGUUAAAGGCAUUCCCCAAGUUCUAGGCCUACACCACAUCUUUUAAGUAUUAUUCGUCAGCGAAAAAAACUGCAAUUUGUGACAUUGUCAAGAAGUUUGCCUUCAAAAAGGCCAGAAAUAGCCAGGUUUAUGCAUGUGAAAGGGUACAACUUAAGUGUAAUCAACAAAGCGAUAGGGAAAAUGGCUGUAUAAAGACAUGCGACAUAUUUACUAUCGCAUGCGACAUUUCUUCCUGUUUUUGUAAAGGUUUAAACUUAAUCUACAUCAUUUAUGUGAGUCCGAUUUGGAAAGAUCGGCAGGGAUACAUGUUUUCAAGUAUAUAUUUCUCCUUUGAGUUACUCAUUUGGUUGUCUUACUUUGACCUGUGAUAACGUAUAAGGUCGACAGUGCUGUUUUAUUGAAGGGGAGAACACGAAAACCAUAACGGAAAAAAAACGUUGCAGUAGUUAAAGAGAUCGGUCUAAUAUAGUCUUUCACGAUCAAAUCUUUGUGGGCUACGAGUAUACCGUACUUGACGUAAAUUUCAAAAGAAAGCAUUUCAAGAUAUGCGACAGGUUUAGAGUAACAUAGAAAACUACUAUUUCCUU